CGCGUAGGUGGUUCUUCAAGUCAGAUGUUAAAUCUCCUGGCUUAACUGGGAGCUGUCAUCUGAUACUGCUGGACUUGAGGGCGGUAGAGGGAGGUGGAAUUCCCGGUGUAGUGGUGAAAUGCGUAGAUAUCGGGAGGAACACCAGUGGCGAAAGCGGCCUCCUAGGCCGUUCCUGACACUGAGGCGCGAAAGCGUGGGGAGCGAACAGGAUCAGAUACCCUGGUAGUCCACGCCCUAAACUGUGGAAACUAGGUACAGGGAGUAUCGACCCUUCCUGCGCCGUAGCUAACGCGUUAAGUUUCCCGCCUGGGGACUACGGUCGCAAGACUAAA
rnacentral:rRNA from 1 species